CUCCCUCGUUGCUGACCCCAGGUUCGAUAGUGCCAAUCAGACACCACCUCGCCAAGAACCAACUUCGAUGAAGCGACGGGCGGUGUGUGCAAGG
rnacentral:rRNA from 1 species